CUGUGUUUGAGCUUCGAUUUGUAAACCGAUAGCGAUUUUAGAAUUAAUUCAAGAGUUGUGUGUUUAUCUCAGUUAAUCUUUCGAUUGUUCAUGUUCAGUGCGAAUUUUUAACAUAAUGCAAAAGACUAUUUGUAUAUGAGUGAUUCGGAAAGCGGCGCGGAAGCGACCGAGCACACUGCACUCAUGGAUGGCCACAUCGCCGAAGCCCGACCCGACAGGGAGAUCGCUGAGCGGAUCGCGAGGAAGCGGAAGACAAAGACUGAUUCUCAGCGUAACUAUGGUGCAGUGCAACCACCCGAUGGCAGUGGAAGUAGUGCAGGUGGCUCCGGUCAGAACCCUUCUGCGGCUCCCGUCCAACAGAUGGAGGAGCUUGAGCUCAAAUACGGAGCGAGGCAUGUCAUCAAACUGUUUGUGCCAGUCACACUCUGUAUGAUAGUUGUGGUGGCAACAAUAUCAUCAGUCAGCUUCUACUCAGUUAAAGAUGUUUAUUUAGCGUAUACACCAUUUCAUGAAGAAAGUCCGUAUGCAGUGACAAAAGUAUGGAACGCUCUAGCAAAUUCUAUGAUUCUGCUGAGUGUCAUCGCCCUGAUGACGGUGCUGCUCAUAGUGCUGUACAAGAAGAGAUGUUACAAGGCCAUACACGGCUGGCUCAUCAUGUCCUCCCUGAUGCUACUCUUUUUGUUUUCAUAUUUGUACAUAGAAGAAGCAUUAAGGGCCUUCAAUGUUCCCAUGGACUACAUAACCCUCUUGUUUGUGUUGUGGAACUUCGGAGUGAUGGGCAUGAUUGUGAUACACUGGAAGGGGCCGCUGAGGCUGCAGCAGGCGUACUUGAUAUUCAUUGCCGCGCUCAUGGCUCUGGUGUUCAUCAAGUACCUGCCGGAAUGGACCACAUGGGCCGUGCUGGCCGUGAUAUCUAUUUGGGAUUUGAUAGCUGUGUUGACUCCCAAAGGACCACUUAGAAUAUUAGUUGAGACUGCUCAAGAAAGAAAUGAACCCAUAUUCCCAGCACUCAUUUACUCCUCGACGGUGAUGUACGUGCUGGCGGCGCCGGUGGAGGGUGAAGGUGAGGCGCCGCCCCGGGAGCUCCGCCCCCUGAACCCGCGCGGUUCCGGUUCCGGCGCGGUGCGGGAGCCACGUGAGUCACGUGAGUCUCAGGACGACGGCGGGUUCUCGUCGUGGCGGCCGGCGGCGCGGCGGCUGGUGGUGGACAGCGCGCCCGGCGCCGCCUACAGCACGCGUGUCGAGCGCCCCGCCCCCAACCCCGCCCCCGCGCCGCACGAUGACGAGGAGAAGGGCGUGAAGCUGGGCCUGGGUGACUUCAUCUUCUACAGCGUGCUGGUGGGCAAGGCCAGCUCAUACGGCGACUGGAACACCACGCUCGCCUGCUUCGUCGCCAUACUCAUCGGCCUGUGUCUAACGCUGCUGCUGCUGACGAUAUUCAAAAAGGCUCUCCCGGCGCUCCCCAUCUCCAUAACGUUCGGGCUGAUAUUCUACUUCGCGACGCGAUGGGUCGUCAAGCCGUUCUCCGACGCGCUAGCCGCAGAACAGGUGUUCAUAUAGCUACCGCUACACACCCUUUGCUAAUUGGGCACAAGUAACCCCGCUAGGUAUAUAGAAAACCUCGGUACGAAAGGAACUCGAUCGGAAUGACAUAUGCAUAGAUUUAAGGUUAUAACAGUUGUCUAGGAUGAAAUGUUGAUGGGGAUAUAGCAGGUUUUCUAUAUAAAUAGAUGGGAUUAAGUAGCUAGAACAGGUUAACAAAAAGUUAUCAAAUGGCUACUUGUUAUGUUAUAACGUCGCCUUAUUGAAUUCGUCUGUACUUGGCUAUAAUGCUGCCAACUUAAAUGGCAUGUAUUGACCGCUACGAAUAAUGACCGUGUAUUAAAGUAAUACAUUGGCACAUAAAAGUCGAUUUAUUUUCCACAUUUAGACCAUUUGGAAUGAAGUAGAGGUUUAAAUAAACUUGAAGUCUUGGUGGAUGAACUUAAUAUUGCGACGCAGAGUAGCCAAUGUGUCCCAAUUUAGAAGUUAAGAGAUUUCGGGCACAAUCACUCUAGAGGCACAGAAUCACGAAUGAUGUAGUGGAAUGGAAAUCAAAUUCCCACACGUCAAAAGCACCUAAAAAGACCUUAGAAUUUUGUUCAUACAUGAGUGCCUGAAAGUCUAUUACUAUUAACUUUACAGCAAUAAUAAUGACAAUUAGAUAGCUUAAAGCUAACAUAAUUGAGAACUUACGAAAUUAAUGACAAUUAAAAUUCCUCCGGGAGCCAUCUACUUAGAUAUCAGCAAAUUAUAAUGAAAUAGAAUAAUAAAACAUUUUCCUCUGAUUUGUAAUGUCGGUUUACCUGAUUUAUAAAGUAAUGGGUCUAUAAUAUAAUUUUCUUUUCUUUCAAUUUGUUUUCAUUAUCCAUUGUAAAUUUCGAAUCCCGCCAAGGAAAAAAAAUGUAAAACGAAUCUGAUUAUCCGAUUUGAGAUCUCAUUUUUGUGUAAGACUAAAACAAUUAUACAAGUCUGUAACAGAAAUCACUUUUAGAUAAAUUGUAAUCAGUCCGUUGAAGUUUCUGUAAAAACAUAAUUAAACUUGGAUCAUAAAAUUGAUAAUUGUUAUUUCAUAAGAAAAAUCAAAAAUGGCUAUGUAAAAUCAUUAACUGGUACAAUAUACUCAGUCCACUGUGUAUACUGAAUUUUAUUUUAAGUUAUUUAUUAAAAAAAAAUUGUAACGAUACAGCUUGGAGAAUGGAUUACUAGGUUGAGGCAAUGUUUCAUGGUCAUUAGAUAUAAUAAUUAUACAUCCGUAAUAAUAAGAAGAUGUGGAUUUUGUGUAUGUAGAUUGCAGUAGCGUCUGCAAGUUAUGGAAUAUUUUCGAUGUCCUUGUCUCUCAAGCUACUUUUCGACGCUUUAGAGGAGGACAAAACAUUUACAUUUUUUUAUUAGUAAAAGCCCACUUGCAUCCGAUGGUAUUCAGAAAGUAGACAUUACGAAACUCUGGUCUAAUUGAGAAUGCAAAGGUCAGAGCAGAGGGCGCCACUAGCACACAGUAAACAAUCCGACCAAAAUCCGACAUGUUGCACACGUCACAGAAUAUCGCCAGAAACGUUCUCAAACGUCGAACAAAACUUUUUUGUUUACUGUCUAGUGUCUAUGCUGCAGGUGAGUGGUGCUGCCCACGGAGCUCAUACGAAGAGGAGCUGGCCUAAGCAACUGUGCACUGUGAUU